AGCUCUUCGAGCAGUGCAUUGAAAGGGAACACACCUCCUGCAGCUACUCCUCUUAGUCACCGCGAGCUUUUACAUACCCUCACACCUCCAUAUUGCCCAGCCACAUCACUCAGCAUUCGCGCAGAUGGGAUCGACAUGGACCGUGACUUUCACCGUAACUGGUGCAAAGCUCUUUGGCAUUAUUUUCGGCAUUCUACUUUUAAUCGGUCUCAUCGUUGGCAUCAUUUUCCUCAUCCUGUGGCGCAAGCAAGUCGCGCGUAAACGGCGCCUCGCUGCGAAUGCACAGGCUGAGGAUGUUCAGUACGGUGAUUCGGUCCCUCCCGCUGGAGGCCCUUAUGGAGGACAGCCAAUGGCUCAGGGCGGGCCGGUGGCAUAUCAAGGGCCCGUCACUUAUGCGGGUCCAUCUGGUGUACCACCGACAAAUCCCGGAGGGGCGCCAAAUACCUACGCUUGACAUCAUCUCUUGCAGUAAUCACCGCUGUACCCAGGUGUAGUGUUGGAGCAACAACAGCAGCCGGGCAGUGCCACUGAUGCAUCGGCUGUGUAUGGCACGGCGCCCCACUAGGUGCAGCCGAGCAAACAGCAGACGGGGAGUACGAGGCCUGUGGCACCUCCGCGAGCAUGGGUAGCGUAGUAGUCCGUGCUGCGUCGGCGAUAUCGCUCGGUCUUUCGGAGCCACUCCGCCUGAUGGGCUCCGUGGUUACUGUACUGUUGUCUGGUUUUUGUUUCAUCCUACCGCGUUUGUCUGUCAGCGUCUGUGGUGGUGAUGCCGAUGAGCAACACCCAUCAUGUAUUUGUCAGUCUAAUUGUGCGCGAUGCUUUAGUUGCCUCUUGUUUCGCUGCGACAUACCGCCCCACCCCCUCCUCCUCUAUUGCUCUCUCCUCACAGGCCAUGGGUGUGUUGUGUGCCUCGGCUCUGCAAGCUGGAGGCGGCGUAUCGCCCUCUAUCCAUCCCCUUCACGCCAUUCUUCUUACGUACGUCAUGCUAACUUUAGUUUCAACUCAGUAAUCUUCUACGGUAAUUUCUCUUCCUUCCGAUGCUCCUUUGUUUGCUCAUAAUUCGUUGCUUUUCUGUCUUCAUCCUAUCUCACCCUUUCUUUCUCUUGUGCUGAGUCUCUCUUCGCGCUGCGCGUGUCGGUGUUCACUUCCUUCUUUUUACGCUGUUUUGUUGUAGAUCUCCGUGCUUUAACUCUCCCUGGUGAUAGUGCCCGUCGCCUCACGGUAGCGCCAGGGCCUAGUGCCCAGUGUGCGGGGACGCCAAGGGCCUGCAGCCCGCCCUGGAAGGGGGGUGGUGCGGCUGCGGACUCUCGAUGUCGGCGGACAGGCCUGGGCUGGCGCUGCGCGGAGGAGGCCUGCAGUCAUGAGCGCGUUUGCACCAGCUCACCACGAAUCGUGUCGGCGAUCAAACGAGUAGGCGCAUCCCACCUGCUGUGUUUCUGCUUUUGCUGCGUUGCGGCGGUGUUGGGUGGGCCCGCUCCUGGGCAUCGCCGUGGUGCAGCAGAGGUAGGUGAACGGUGGCCGUGUGUAUCUACUGGCUGACUUGUUCGUGGUACAAUGCCACGUUGAAGAAAAAAUGUCGAGUGGAAGCAAUAUCCUUGCUUCACCCGUCAGUGUUACUUCUCGGUUCCAGUCGUUUUGAAAACGAGCCCGAAUGACCUUAUGGUCCCUUCUCUCGUUAUUUCCACUGUCCGUGUCUCCAUAUU
rnacentral:misc_RNA from 1 species